GAUGAACGCUGGCGGCGUGCCUAAUACAUGCAAGUCGAGCGAACAGACGAGGAGCUUGCUUCUCUGAUGUUAGCGGCGGACGGGUGAGUAACACGUGGAUAACCUACCUAUAAGACUGGGAUAACUUCGGGAAACCGGAGCUAAUACCGGAUAAUAUUUUGAACCGCAUGGUUCAAAAGUGAAAGACGGUCUUGCUGUCACUUAUAGAUGGAUCCGCGCUGCAUUAGCUAGUUGGUAAGGUAACGGCUUACCAAGGCAACGAUGCAUAGCCGACCUGAGAGGGUGAUCGGCCACACUGGAACUGAGACACGGUCCAGACUCCUACGGGAGGCAGCAGUAGGGAAUCUUCCGCAAUGGGCGAAAGCCUGACGGAGCAACGCCGCGUGAGUGAUGAAGGUCUUCGGAUCGUAAAACUCUGUUAUUAGGGAAGAACAUAUGUGUAAGUAACUAUGCACAUCUUGACGGUACCUAAUCAGAAAGCCACGGCUAACUACGUG
rnacentral:rRNA from 1 species